rnacentral:rRNA from 1 species
CCCGACUGCUAUUUGGGUGAGAAUAAGCCAUGCGAGUUGAAUGGGAUACCUAGAGUUCCCAUAGCAAACUGCUCAGUAACACAUGAUCAACUUACCCUAUAGAGAAAAAUAACCUCGGGAAACUGAGGAUAAUAUUUCAUAAUUGAAUUGGCUUGGAAAAGUUUUUCAAUGAAAGGGAUAAACAAAAUGGUUUUUAUCCGCUAUAGGAUAGGAUCGUGUUCGAUUAUGGUUGUUGGUGAGAUAAUGGCUCACCAAGCCGAUAAUCGAUAGGGGCCGUGAGAGCGGGAGCCCCGAGAUGGGUACUGAGACAACGACCCAGGCCUUACGAGGCGCAGCAGGCGCGGAACCUCCGCAAUACACGAAAGUGUGACGGGGUUACCCAAAGUGUUCAAUAGAACUGUGGUAGGUGAGUAAUGUCCCCUACUAGAAAGGAGAGGGCAAGGCUGGUGCCAGCCGCCGCGGUAAAACCAGCUCUUCAAGUGGUCGGGAUAAUUAUUGGGCUUAAAGUGUCCGUAGCCGGUUUAGUAAGUUCCUGGUAAAAUCGGGUAGCUUAACUAUCUGCAUGCUAGGAAUACUGCUAUACUAGAGGGCGGGAGAGGUCUGAGGUACUACAGGGGUAGGGGUGAAAUCUUAUAAUCCUUGUAGGACCACCAGUGGCGAAGGCGUCAGACUGGAACGCGCCUGACGGUGAGGGACGAAAGCCAGGGGAGCGAACCGGAUUAGAUACCCGGGUAGUCCUGGCCGUAAACGAUGCAUACUAGGUGAUGGUACGGCCAUGAGCCGUAUCAGUGCCGUAGGGAAACCGUUAAGUGUGCCGCCUGGGAAGUACGGUCGCAAGGCUAAAACUUAA